rnacentral:lncRNA from 1 species
GCUGACUUCCAAUGACACACCCCAACCGGAGUCAAGGCGUGCUGGCUGUCACGUGAAAGUGACACAACCAAAGUGCAAGUGAUGAAAAAAUUAUGAAUAAAUUAAAACCGAAACUAGAAUUGAAUUAACUAAUAACAUGAGUGCGCAUUAGUGGUUACAACCCAUAAAUACAAAUAUUCAGAGCAUAGAUAACAUAAUGGUAAAGUAGUCAAACAAGAGAAGUACUUUUUACACAGCUAGAGAUAAGAUCUUACGUUAAGAUAGAGAUAUGUCAGAAUCCACCAGCUAUUCCUCGUACACCACAAAGAUAACUCAACUAACUAGGACCUUGAGGGGCAAAAAACAGAAGGGUGAGUGGGCCAAAAAUAAAGGUUUAUAAAAUCCAUAUAUUUUUCAAUCAUACUAACCCCUCACUGUAAAACCAGUAUAGUUUCCAGAAAAUCAUACUACGUAUAAGUAUGAAAAUCAAAUGCAUGCCAAAUGUAAGUCCAUAAGUAUGCCAUAGCAGAUAUUCUCACCAACAGUAUAUAUGAUUAUGCGCUGUAAUCUAUACUAACAUGCCAGUCGAAGCCACCUAAUGUGAACUGUAUGACUACACCUAUUGCUCAUCCAUUUAGGCUAACACACGAGCAGAGUCACCUAAUGUGACCUGUACAACAGGACUAGGUGUAAUAAUAUACGCUCUAGUGCUACGAUCAUGUGAAGACUAGCGCUAUACGCAUCACCUACGAGUCGAAGUCAUCUAAUGUGACGUGUACAACAGGACUAGCACCUACUUGGAUCCAAGGUGGGCAUGGGGUGCGAGGUGAAUAUCACGUGAAGGACUAUCCCUAGCCCGGGGCGAGCACUAACACUGAUGCAGCAAUGAUGAGCGAACUAUAUGUAAGCAAGCCAUAAUAAUUCAACCAUUCAAUUCAUCACAUAACCUUACCUGGACUUACAUGCACAUCUCACGUUCAUAUUAGCAUUUCAACCCAUUCACAUCAAUUACAUGCAGGUAAUAUGCAUAUGGGUAUGCCAUGAUGUAAUAUAAAACUCAACCAUAUCAUAGCAUAAAAAAUAUAUAUAAUUCAUAGAAUAAAUGCAUAAAACCAUUUAAAAACAUUUAUGGAAACUAUAAAGUAUAUAUGUAAUAUACAAAAACAAAAUGCCCACUCACUGGUAAGUCGUAAGAUCAUAGCCCCCUAGUCUUCCUUGUCCACAUACAUCCUUAGGGUAAGUUUCCCCUAUAUGCAAAACAACUAUUUAUAAUUAAUUAAUAAGGUCAUACGCUAAAAACUAGGAAUAACAUCCUAUAAUUUGCGCAAACGAAGGGUUUGAAUAUAUGAAAUAGAUCUGCUCGACAUCACAGACCUACACAAAUUUUCAGAAAUAUUUUUGGACACCGGACGCACCUCCAUGUGCCUGCCAAGUAGGGCCAAACGCGCAGCCACGCGCAGGCAUGUGCAUGGCAAGUGACGACAGAACAGAGGAAUAUUCUGUCAGAAUUGACGGAAUAUUCCAUUAAAUAGUAACCAGACGCACCCUCACCAGACGCCAUUAGAAUAUUCCGUCACCUUUGACAUAAUAUUCUCCUUCUUCUUCGGUCACUCUCGUCGUUCGCCACCGU